GGGCAGGUGGUGGAAUUGGCAGACACGUUAGUUUUAGGAGCUAAUGCCGCAAGGUGUGUGGGUUCGAGUCCCACCCUGCCCA
rnacentral:tRNA from 1 species